CGGCGCCAACGACGACCGCGGUAGAGAGACCACGACCUCCGGUGUUGCGCUUAGAUGCUGUUAAGAAUGGCUAUGGUGCAUCAUCUCCAUGGACGCAAAAUAAAGCACGGCAAAUCGAGCAACACCUGUGGAUGGAGAUUGCGGCGGACUUAUCUGUCAUGGACUUGGAGCUGCAUCUCACAACUUUGGGCCAUGUUUAUGGAGCAGUAGUGUUCUUUUUCCUUAAGAUGCACCGGAUUCGUACUGCCAUACAUAGGCUUAAGCUCAGGGUUUCCUUACUCGACCACGAUACUAUAUCCGCGAAUGAAGAGGAAUGCCGACAGCAUUGUGCUUGCGCCCCCACCAACUGGACAAGCCAAGUUGUCUCCUUGAUGGAGCUUGCAGAGGUGGAAAUUGACGGUUUCCAAGGAGACGAUCACGAGUUUGAUGUCUUGGAACAUCUAUUCAGAUGUGCGCCAACUAUUAAAAAAAUGGUCCUGAAGCAGUCAUACGAGGUCGCCCCAAGUGCC